rnacentral:misc_RNA from 1 species
AACGCAUAUUGCACUCUCUGGCUCUCCAGAGAGUAUGCCUGUUUGAGUAUCAGUUUAAACUCUCAACCUCCUAUUGGGGGAUGAGGAAUUGAGCGGUCCGCUUGUAGUAGAUUGCUUGCAAUUUGUUACACUUUGGCGGUUGCUUGAAAUGGAUAGCUUAGCGGUAUUGACCACUGCUUAAGAUGACUAGGCGUAUUAGUUUCCCAAUUGGGAAUCCACUCGUGCGCCGGUGUAUUGGUCUCUAAAGCCUUUGUGUUGGUUGAUCGCCGAGCUCUUCCCCAAGUGUUCUUUUGGGCACUUACCGAGUAUGGCUUGCAGUUUGCAUGCUGAACUUGAUCUUGAUCUCAAAUCAGGCAAGACUACCCGCUGAAUUUAA